AUUGAACGCUGGCGGCAGGCCUAACACAUGCAAGUCGAACGAGUGGCGGAGGGGUGAGUAAUGUGUGGGAAACCGCCUGAUGGAGGGGGAUAACCACUGGACAAGGUCGAUAAUACCGCAUACCCUCAGAUGUGCCCAGAUGGGAUUAGCUUGUUGGUGGGGUAACGGCUCACCAAGGCGACGAUCCCUAGCUGGUCUGAGAGGCUGACCAGCCACACUGGAACUGAGACACGGUCCAGACUCCUACGGGAGGCAGCAGUGGGGAAUAUUGCACAAUGGGCGCAAGCCUGAUGCAGCCAUGCCGCGUGUAUGAAGAAGGCCUUCGGGUUGUAAAGUACUUUCAGCGGGGAGGCGUUACCCGCAGAAGAAGCACCGGCUAACUCCGUGCCAGCAGCCGCGGUAAUUC
rnacentral:rRNA from 1 species